AUCCUGUUGAUCGCGCCGGCCGUGAGUGAUAUCGGAGUGGUACUAAGGCAUGCGAGUCGUUGUAGCAUGACAGGUGGAUCGACUCAGUAACAUGUAGUCAAGGUAAUCUAUGGACGUGGAUAACCUCGGGAAACUGAGAAUAACCUGCGAUAGAUCAGUAUGCCUUGAAUGGGUUAUGGUUCAAACAAUGUAUUGCUGUAGGAUGGGAAUGCGGCCUAUCAGCCAGUUGGAGAGGUAAUGGCCCACCAAGGCUAUUACAGGUACGGGCUCUUAGAGGAGAAGCCCGGAGAUGGGUAGUGAGUCACGGAGGCAGGCCAUAUCGGGCGCAGCAGGCGAGAAACCUUAGCAAUGUGCGAAAGCAUGGCUGGGUUAAUACGAGUGAUUUGUGUUGAAGAAAUCUUGUGUCAGUCGUAAACCCACAGAUGAAUACGGGGUGGGCAAGUUUGGUGUCAGGCGGCGCGGUAAUACCAGCACCUCGAGUGGUCAGGAGGUUUAAAGGGCCUAAAGCAUCCGUAGCCGGUAGCGCAAGUCUCCGGUUAAAUCCAGCUGUUCAACAGAUGGGUUUCUGGAGAUACUUCAUAGCUAGGGAGCGGGAGAGGUAGUCGGUCUUCUGUGGGUAGGGGUAAAAUCCGUUGCUCCAUAGAGGGCCACCAGUGGCGAAGGCGGUGCUAUCCAGAACGCGUUUGUCGCUGAGGGAUGAAAGCGGGGGGAGCAAGGCCGGAUUAGAUUUCCGGGUAGGUCCCAGCUGUAAACGAUGCAAACUCGGUGAGGCAUUGGCUUAUGGCCAAUGCAGUGCCGCACGGCAAGCCGUUAAUGUUUGCUCGCCUGGGAAGUAUCGGACGCAAGUCUGCAAUCUUAAAGGAAUUGGCGCGGGAGCAC
rnacentral:rRNA from 1 species